GACGAACGCUGGCGGCGUGCUUAACACAUGCAAGUCGAACGGAAAGGCCCUGCUUUUGUGGGGUGCUCGAGUGGCGAACGGGUGAGUAACACGUGAGUAACCUGCCCUUGACUUUGGGAUAACUUCAGGAAACUGGGGCUAAUACCGGAUAGGAGCUCCUGCUGCAUGGUGGGGGUUGGAAAGUUUCGGCGGUUGGGGAUGGACUCGCGGCUUAUCAGCUUGUUGGUGGGGUAGUGGCUUACCAAGGCUUUGACGGGUAGCCGGCCUGAGAGGGUGACCGGCCACAUUGGGACUGGGAUACGGCCCAGACUCCUACGGGAGGCAGCAGUGGGGAAUAUUGCACAAUGGGCGGAAGCCUGAUGCAGCAACGCCGCGGGCGGGAUGACGGCCUUCGGGUUGUAAGCCGCUUUCGCCUGUGACGAAGCGUGAGUGACGGUAAUGGGUAAAGAAGCACCGGCUAACUACGUG
rnacentral:rRNA from 1 species